rnacentral:misc_RNA from 1 species
UCUCCGUUGGUGAACCAGCGGAGGGAUCAUUACAGAGUCGUAAAACACUCCCAAACCCAUGUGAACUUACUAUUUUGUUGCCUCGGCGGGCCUCUGAGAUUCGUCUCACGUCCGCCGGCGGCCCAUUAAACUCUGUUACUUUUAAGCAAUCUGAGUCUUUUAUAAAAUAAAGUCAAAACUUUCAACAACGGAUCUCUUGGUUCUGGCAUCGAUGAAGAACGCAGC